AACCUUAUGGACCUGCGGGCGUAUACCUGCGGAAGGAUCAUUACAAGUGACCCCGGUUUACCACCGGGAUGUUCAUAACCCUUUGUUGUCCGACUCUGUUGCCUCCGGGGCGACCCUGCCUUCGGGCGGGGGCUCCGGGUGGACACUUCAAACUCUUGCGUAACUUUGCAGUCUGAGUAAACUUAAUUAAUAAAUUAAAACUUUCAGCAACGGAUCU
rnacentral:misc_RNA from 1 species